rnacentral:rRNA from 1 species
GACGAACGCUGGCGGCGUGCCUAAUACAUGCAAGUCGAACGCAGUGGGGACGGGUGAGUAACACGUGGGUAACCUCCCAUCAGAGGGGAUAACACUUGGAAACAGGUGCUAAACCGAUACUGAUGGAUGGACCCGCGGUGCAUUAGCUAGUGGGUGAGGUAACGGCUCACCAAGGCCACGAUGCAUAGCCGGCCUGAGAGGGUGAUCGGCCACACUGGAACUGAGACACGGCCCAGACUCCUACGGGAGGCAGCAGUAGGGAAUCUUCGGCAAUGGACGCAAGCCUGACCCAGCAACGCCGCGUGAGUGAAGAAGGUUUUCGGGUCGUAAAACUCUGUUGUCGGAGAAGCGUUACCCGCCCAGAAAGCACCGGCUAACUACGUGCCAGCAGCCGCGGUAAUAC